rnacentral:rRNA from 1 species
UGGGGAAUAUUGCACAAUGGGCGCAAGCCUGAUGCAGCCAUGCCGCGUAUGUGAAGAAGGCCUUCGGGUUGUAAAGCACUUUCAGCGAGGAGGAAGGUGGUGAGCUUAAUACGCUCAUCAAUUGACGUUACUCGCAGAAGAAGCACCGGCUAACUCCGUGCCAGCAGCCGCGGUAAUACGGAGGGUGCAAGCGUUAAUCGGAAUUACUGGGCGUAAAGCGCACGCAGGCGGUUUGUUAAGUCAGAUGUGAAAUCCCCGGGCUCAACCUGGGAACUGCAUUUGAAACUGGCAAGCUAGAGUCUCGUAGAGGGGGGUAGAAUUCCAGGUGUAGCGGUGAAAUGCGUAGAGAUCUGGAGGAAUACCGGUGGCGAAGGCGGCCCCCUGGACGAAGACUGACGCUCAGGUGCGAAAGCGUGGGGCAGCAAACAGGAUUAGAUACCCUGGUAGUCCACGCUGUAAACGAUGUCGAUUUGGAGGUUGUGCCCUUGAGGCGUGGCUUCCGGAGCUAACGCGUUAAAUCGACCGCCUGGGGAGUACGGCCGCAAGGUUAAAACUCAAAGGAAUUGACGGGGUC